GAACAAACUUUCUUUGCAGGAUUGGGUCAACCAUGGGGUCUGAUUUGGAGAUGCUUCCCUUCUCUGUCAGCUGCUCAUGUCUCAAAUGAAGAGCCUUUUGUGAUGACCAUGUAUGGAAUAGUGUCUGAAGUACCACUGCACUGUACCUGUCUUUGCGUCUAAACAUCACUACCAUCAUCACGGGACAAACCGCCCAUCUCAGUGGUGUCUGGCAGUGAGCUGAACAUGGCAACCCGUGUGUGUCUCAUCCCAGAAAGAGAAGACUUUAACCACUGUGAUGCCUGAGAAUCCAAGACAGAGUCUCACUGCGUUGCCCAGGCUGGUCUUGAACUCUUGGACUCAAGCAAUCCUCCCACCUUGGCCUCCCAAAGAGCAGGAAUUACAGGUGUGACGUUUCUCCAGAUACUUCAUGCUGUUCACCUGUGUCCUCGCCGCACCACUGCCGCACACGACUCCUGAACCAUGGGGGAAAA
rnacentral:lncRNA from 10 species